rnacentral:tRNA from 1 species
GCCUCAGUUGUCCAAUGGCUAAGACACUUGCCUGUCGCGCAGGAGACCCGGGUUCAAUUCCCGGCUGAGGCG